UGGGGUGGCUGAGUGUCUAACUGACGGUGAAAUUAGUGGUGGAAGAUGCUGCUGGGGAUACACUUCUCUUCACUCCACACGGGGCAGAGCCAGGAUGGAGUAGGACAGGUGUCAGGAUGGUCAUUUCACUUUGCCUAAAAUGCUACCUUCACGGUCUUCAUCACGCUUACCCCAUUUCAUGUUUGACUUUGGCCAUGUAUCUAGUAAUUUAACUUCAACUCACCCUAGAGGCAAGAAGAAGUGAUGCAGCUAUGGCAGGAGAAACCUGGAAACCCAAGGACAGCAAUGCAUCUGAUUCUCUGGUAAGCCCGGCCUCCCACUCACUGAAGAGCCAGCGGUCAGGGAAAAGUGGUCAGCAGUAUCCACAGCCAUGGUGUAGAGCGUGCACCACACAAAGAUGACCAGCUGAGGGCAUGGUAAGGGGCCGAAAUCCUGUUUGCCCUGCCAGUGCCCCAACAGCUUGAGUCCUCCCAAAUGUCAUUUCUUGAUGUCAUCUGUUCCUUUUCACCCACUAUGACCUUGGACUAAGCUCCCUCCACACCAGACCAUAUGGAAGACGAGCUGGGGGCUUCCUCUGACCAGUAAGAGAUGAGGUGACAUGGAGGGAAGAUGGGAUUUGGGAGGCUCCUGGGCAGGUUUCAUGUGGCUGGUAGGGAAGGUCAUGCAGUGUAAAAGGGCUGAUUGAAACAGUUGCAAUUUGCUUGGGUCAAAAGAGUUGUGAGCUGGGGAUGACAUUUGGCGUGGAGAGAAGGAGCUGAGCUCAUUGGGAUGAUGUUACUUAAAAACAGGUGCAGCAUUCCUCAGAUGCUAAGAGAAUCUUGUAUCUCCGGCUGGUUGGUAUGUAAAUGCGAGGAUGAGGACAUAUGCACAGUGGAAUGGGAUGGGCUUCCUCAAGAAUAAGGAGCCCGGAGGCAUCACAAAACCUUUGUUACCCCAGAGUUGGAAGUUUCCGCUA